rnacentral:lncRNA from 1 species
AAACUAUAUAAGGAGGUCUCGGCAAAAAUAGCUGAUCGUGCGAGUGAAAAGUGCGCGUCAAAGGGCUCUCGCUGCAAGUGUGAGGGCAAUUACAAUGGAGUGUGCUGAUUAACCUUUUGAAGGCAAUGUGAAAAAACAUAAUAAUUGUUGCGUCGACAAGCAAACGAUCACUGAAAAUAAGCAGAAGCGACGAGUAACUCUGCCGCAGACGAGACAUCCUGAUAUAGUUGCUUCAUGGUUACGUCGGGACCAUUAGAGUUCAGUGCGUGUUUGUUUGUUGAAAUUGGGUGGAAGGUAUAUCGGUAUAUAUAGGUAUACUUUGACAAUUGUUCGGUAUAUUACGGUAUAUGUGAGAAGGUAACACUUUCCACACAUUUUCGAGACGAGUUCAAACAGAUUUCAAAGAAAAAUAUAGACAGAAGUGGGAGCCUCUAAAAGACACCAAAAUAUUUCUAUGCAGGAUCAAAAAUUCGAUCGUUGCCUAUUUAUAGACGCAGUAUCGACAUUAUGAGUAGAAUUGCAACAAUUUGACAACACGCUGCCCCACAAAAGCAAUAAGAAAAAAUAAAAAACUAAAUUCAACCUUUUAAGACGAUCUAAGAUAUUUUAAUUUUUAUUUUAAAUUAAAUUUUAAAUAAAUUUUUUAUUUUUACUUUUCCAUUAGCUUCUUGUUAGCUAUGUUAAUAUAAUCGUCUUUCUAUUAUAGAUUGAUUUGUCCUUGGAGGAAAAAACUUUUGCCGCGAAAGUAAGAAGAGCCGAAUGAAUGUAAUAGCUCCUGCAGAAGAGCCCUACCACCGUCACGUGCAAUGGGCUUAUAUUGUCCGCUUCAAACGCUUUCGUGUGAGAGAAUGUUCUCUAAAGUGACUUAAACAAAAAGCAACAUUAGAAAUAGAUUUACGAACACAAAUGUAUUC